UGUAGAGGGGGGUAGAAUUCCAGGUGUAGCGGUGAAAUGCGUAGAGAUCUGGAGGAAUACCGGUGGCGAAGGCGGCCCCCUGGACAAAGACUGACGCUCAGGUGCGAAAGCGUGGGGAGCAAACAGGAUUAGAUACCCUGGUAGUCCACGCCGUAAACGAUGUCUACUUGGAGGUUGUGCCCUUGAGGCGUGGCUUCCGGAGCUAACGCGUUAAGUAGACCGCCUGGGGAGUACGGCCGCAAGGUUAAAACUCAAAUGAAUUGACGGGGGCCCGCACAAGCGGUGGAGCAUGUGGUUUAAUUCGAUGCAACGCGAAGAACCUUACCUGGUCUUGACAUCCACGGAAGUUUUCAGAGAUGAGAAUGUGCCUUCGGGAACCGUGAGACAGGUGCUGCAUGGCUGUCGUCAGCUCGUGUUGUGAAAUGUUGGGUUAAGUCCCGCAACGAGCGCAAC
rnacentral:rRNA from 1 species